rnacentral:rRNA from 1 species
AAAAAUGCAAGACUAAGUACAGCAUUGUACCGUGAAACUGCGAACGGCUCAUUAAAUCAGUUAUCGUUUAUUUGAUAGUACCCUACUACAUGGAUAACCGUGGUAAUUCUAGAGCUAAUACAUGCUAAGGCCCCGACUGCGGAAGGGGUGUAUUUAUUAGAUAAAAAACCAAUGCCCUCCGGGGCUCCUUGGUGAUUCAUGAUAACUCAACGGAUCGCAGGGCCUUGCGCCGGCGAUGGUUCAUUCAAAUUUCUGCCCUAUCAACUUUCGAUGGUAGGAUCGGGGCCUACCAUGGUAUCAACGGGUAACGGGGAAUUAGGGUUCGAUUCCGGAGAGGGGGCCUGAGGAACGGCCACCACAUCCAAGGAAGGCAGCAGGCGCGCAAAUUACCCAAUCCCGACUCGGGGAGGUAGUGACAAUAAAUACUGAUACAGGGCUCUUUUGGGUCUUGUAAUUGGAAUGAGUACAAUUUAAACCCCUUAACGAGGAACAAUUGGAGGGCAAGUCUGGUCGGCAGCUGCUGGUGCCAGCAAAAGCGUGGGGGGCCCCUCGAGGGGGGGGGGGCCUCUUGCCCAAUUCAACACGCUAGUCAAGCGCCCGUCUUCGGCGGGAGGGCGCCGGCGAGACAACCUAAAUCGGGGGAGGCUGUCGUGGCUUCGGCCGCAAGCUGAUCCCAAGCGGCUCCGUUGGGUCUCCCAGCGAAGGUCGUGUAAAGCCCGCUAAGGUGUCGGUCGUCCCUCGCCGCUCUGGCGAGGGGGGGCUUAAGGUACGGGCCAAACCCCCAUGAAAAUGGGGCCCCGAAGGCCGAGCGCCCGCCGCGUAAAGCCUGGGAAUUCGGAUCCGGGGGCCCUCCUCAUGGGGCCUCAUGGAAUGAGCGUGCCUCGUUCGGGGCACGUUCUUCGGGGGUGCUAACAUAGUGCCAGCAGCCGCGGUAAUUCCAGCUCAAUAGCGUUAUAAAGUGUGCAGUAAAGCUCGUAGUUGACUGGCUGCUGCGUCCGCUAACGCGUGCACUGAUCGCCGGCCUUCUCG